GACAGGGUCUCAUUAUUGUUGCCCAGGCUCGUCUCAAACUCCUGGCUCAAAUGAUCCUCCCACCUCAGCCUCCCGUAUAGCUGGGAUUACAGGUGCAUGCCACCAAGUCCAGGUUUACUAAAUAAAUGGCACAAACCCAUAAGGACAAAGAGACUUGGAGUGGAGGAAACACCAAGGAAAAAUGGAAAGAUGGAAAGCUGACGGAUGAGUGUGAGCUGACCCAGCAGAUUCAGUGAGGCCAACACCUAAGCUGGCAGUGAGGGAAAGUUCCAGUUGGGUCACAUAUCCAUCUCUGAGUCUGUCACUGGGAGAAUGGGAUGCUUUUCUGGACUAGGCCUGACUUACAUACCCAUCUGGGACAACCGGACUUUCUAUGGGUACAGCUUCAUCUGUAUGUGGACAGAGACUGAAGAAUGGAGUACUCCAGCACUUUCACAGUCAUUUACGGCAUCUGCAGAGCAGUGAAAAAUUUGAAUUGCCUGAGAUACAUGCUCCCUGCUGAAGUCGCACAAG